CUAACUCAAUACUCAGCACCUGAAAAAGAAACCCCACUGGUAAAUCAAAGGGAUUGAUUAGAGAUGAUAAAGAAAAGAAAACUGAUGCAGGAUACAGUUUCAAGUGCAAAGGCACAACAUGGUCCAACAACAGUUCACUUGGCAUAUAUGGAGCAAGCUCGCAGUUCAACUUCCUCCUCACUGCCUGCAACUAUUUGACUAUUAGCCUCGAUAGCGCUGGCAAGGGUUGCACUAUACUUCAGCACACCCAGCUGUUGAAGCACGGCUGGAACAAUAUAGUCCGCCAUAAUAGUGAUUGAGCCAAUGUCAUAAAAUUCUCCAUAUCCUUGGCCUCCAAAUGCACCCCAUAAAUCUGCUGCAAAUAUCUGAGCUCUUUUAUACAAAAAUACUUGGUGGCCUUUGUAUACUGAGUGGUCUCGGAAACCUAGAAAGUUUAAUUAGUUACAGUAAAUAUGCCUGUUUCCUUGGGAAUAACCCCUACAAA